GCGUGUGACGGCAGCAGGUAGGAGUGAGCCGCUGGUGCGGUGAUGAGCAGGAAAGGGAGGGCAGCGGCUGUUGGCCUGUGAACCUAGGCAAGAACGACCAGCCAACACAAUCCAGACCAAGGUCCGGCUGGAAGAGCCCAGGG